UGUCUCCUCCAACUCUCCUCAGAAAAGAAUUGGAUUUCGGCCCGCUCUUGUAGCGGGCCUUUUUUU
rnacentral:ncRNA from 1 species